UACAGAGGUCUCAAGCGUUAUUCGGAAUCACUGGGCGUAAAGGGUGCGUAGGCGGCGCGGAAAGUCAGGGGUGAAAUCCCGGAGCUCAACUCCGGAACUGCCUUUGAUACUCCCGUGCUGGAGAGCUGGAGGGGACAUCGGAAUUCACGGUGGAGCAGUGAAAUGCGUGGAUAUCGUGAGGAACACUAGUGGCGAAGGCGGAUGUCUGGACAGUAUCUGACGCUGAGGCACGAAGGCCAGGGGAGCGAACGGG
rnacentral:rRNA from 1 species